CUUGUUCCUGUCUAUCACUGCAGUGCUUUGAUGCAUAAUGUGGCAGAAUGCUUUUAGUCUUGCUACUCAUUAAUACAAGGUGAAAGGAACAAAAACAGGGGAUUUCCAUUGGUGUCACAGGGAGGAAGAAAACAUGUUCCAGCAACAGACCAGGAUUCCAAGGCCAAUUUCACCAUCACCGUAAAGUCCCCCCUCUCACAGGAUCCCCUCGGUUCAGAGACGAGUGAGUGGGCAUUCAGAGGCUGGAUAAGUUGGUGACUGGCCAGGAACGGCCUCUGGUGAACAGAGACAGUAAUUAGCACACAACAACCAUUAACAAACAGAUUAGCCCCUUAACCAGCAUGGAAUCCUGUCAUCAUUGUCGCGUACGUCCUCAUUUCCUCAGUGCCUGCUGGUCACUUUUGGCAUUUGGUGAAAAAAAAAAAGAUGCUUCCAUUCCCCAAGGCUCCUUCACUUCCAGCACUGUCUGGUGAAUCCGCCCUGCUGUGUGCGCUUAAUGAAAGAUAAGAAGGGUCUUCCACCACUGACACUGAGCCACGGACCCUCAGAGGACCGCGCUAAUCUGCUUGGCUCCUAAUGGAGGCCACUUUGUGUCUGCCGAGGAUCAUUUCAUAUCAAACAAAUUGUGUCCUGUGAAACCCAUUACAUUUUGGGCCCUUUAGAGAUUCUUCACCCUUAGCUGACACAUAGAGGACAUUCUCAGCCUGACUUUGGAUGGUGUAAACAUUCCCAAAGAUGUUCCUCUGUGGAGCAGCCCUUUGCCAGUUUGAAGAAGGGCUUUGUGCAUGGUUAAAACCUGAUCAAGCUUACAUGAACUGGAGAAGAAAAAGACAAAACUAUCAGAGUCCUUGCAGUGAAAUGAGAACACAUAUGGAAAAAAUAGAGCCGAGGGGGAUAUAAGUGACUGACAAAGAGUGAAUAAAUGUUCAUCUUUGUAAUCUUA